rnacentral:rRNA from 1 species
UGGGGAAUAUUACACAAUGGAGGGAACUCUGAUGCAGCGACGCCGCGUGAACGAAGAAGGCUUUCGAGUCGUAAAGUUCUUUUAUAUGGGAAGAUAAUGACGGUACCAUAAGAAAAAGCCCCGGCUAACUACGUGCCAGCAGCCGCGGUAAUACGUAGGGGGCUAGCGUUGUCCGGAAUCACUGGGCGUAAAGGGUUCGCAGGCGGAAAUGCAAGUCAGGUGUAAAAGGCAGUAGCUUAACUACUGUAAGCAUUUGAAAUUGCAUAUCUUGAGAAGAGUAGAGGUAAGUGGAAUUUUUAGUGUAGCGGUGAAAUGCGUAGAUAUUAAAAAGAAUACCGGUGGCGAAGGCGACUUACUGGGCUCAUUCUGACGCUGAGGAACGAAAGCGUGGGUAGCAAACAGG